rnacentral:rRNA from 1 species
UGAAGCGGUAACAGCUCAAAUUUGAAAUCUGGCUCCUUCGGAGUCCGAAUGGUAAUUUGUAGAAGAUGCUUUGGGUGAUGGGUUCGGCCUAAGUUCCUUGGAAUAGGACGUCAUAGAGGGUGAGAAUCCCGUAUGUGGCCGAGGCCCACGCCUAUGUAAAGCUCUUUCGACGAGUCGAGUUGUUUGGGAAUGCAGCUCAAAAUGGGUGGUAAAUUUCAUCUAAAGCUAAAUAUGGGCCAGAGACCGAUAGCGCACAAGUAGAGUGAUCGAAAGAUGAAAAGCACUUUGGAAAGAGAGUUAAACAGUACGUGAAAUUGUUGAAAGGGAAGCGCUUGCACCCAGACUUGGGCGCUGCCGAUCACCCAGAGUUUUCUCUGGUGCACUCGACAGCGCACAGGCCAGCAUCGGUUCGGGUGGCUGGAUAAAGGCCGUAGGAACGUAGCUCCCCUCGGGGAGUGUUAUAGCCUACGGUGCCAUGCAGCCCAGCCGGACCGAGGACCGCGCCUUCGGGCUAGGAUGCUGGCGUAAUGGGUGUAAGCGACCCGUCUUGAAACACGGACCAAGGAGUCUAACAUCUAUGCGAGUGUUUGGGCGUUAAACCCAUACGC